UACGUAGGCAGCAAACGUUGUUCGGAAUUACUGGGCGUAAAGAGUGUGUAGGCGGUUCUGUAAGUUUGGUGUGAAAUCUCCCGGCUUAACUGGGAGGGUGCGCCGAAAACUGCAAGGCCUGAGUGCUGGAGAGGAUAGCGGAAUUCCUGGUGUAGCGGUGAAAUGCGUAGAUAUCAGGAGGAACACCGGCGGUGUAGACGGCUAUCUGGACAGCAACUGACGCUGAGACACGAAAGCGUGGGGAGCAAACAGG
rnacentral:rRNA from 1 species